GGAACUCCUUUACGGAACUCUAAUUUGUCAUUUUUUGAGCAAGAAACAUGAAAAACAAGGGUACGUUCAUCCAAUAAAUUCUAGCUGUCAACCUUUAGAACCGGUUGUUCAAUCAUUUCGACACGCAAUUCACCGACGAAACUGAAAGUGAGUAUUAGCUGUCAUGAACAAGAACUCAAAAUGCAAAGUCCAGAAAGGCAAAGCGGCGCAUUAAGGGAAAGUGCAUAAAUUAAUGAACAGAUGUCAAAAAUAGGACGUAGCUCUAACAGGAAGGAGAAGUGAGUCGGAAUUACCUAGAUGGGAGAAAGUUAUAUAAUUCAGAUAUACAUAGAGUCAUAGACUUUCCUAAUAAAAGAGGUUCUACAAAUUCAGUAACUUGUGUGAUUGAAUACUUCAUAUAGGAUAUAAGUGCUUACUGUGAACCAAGCUCCAAGUAAACUACGGUAAAAAAGGAGUCACGAAGGGGAUUUAGUUCAAAUACGCCAUAAUUGUUGCUCUUCUAGUUUAUACAAAAUGAACCAGAAAAGUUAUCCUAGCAAACAGCUCCAGUGGGCAUCUUCCCUUCCAAUCCAACUUAUAAAGUAGAGCUAGAAGUAAAAAUAUGUAUAAUUUUAAUUAAAUACAUUUAAAUGCCAGAGUCUGCCUAUUUACAUAAUAAGCAAAGGUAGACACCACAAUUCCAGCCCUAAUGAAGUCAAAACUACAACACAUUUUGCUCCCUAGAAUUCUAAGAAAGCUAAAGUGCUAAACAGACCUUCUUUGCUACUCAAUCCUAUAUAAAGUAACACACAAAAGCCGUAAUUUAAAGCAAAAUGAGAAAACAUAAACUAAGAACCAAAUCAAGCAAUAUAACUCAUAAUAUCAAUUAAAAUAAGAUAUAGCAGAUCUAACUAUAUGCUUUACAAUAUUAAUUUCUUUCUUCUUAAUUAAAAAGCAUAAAAUUCAUUUCAAAACUUCAAUUAGGAAUAUGCUAGCGAAUCAAAACAACUUAAAUUUCAACCACAACAAUCAAUCAAUCAAUAGAAGAUCGGAUCUUCCACACAUUGAUUAAUUCUCCUAAAAUCAAUAUAUAAUCCUUCGAAAAUAGCUCAAACUUCAUAUUUUAAUGUUCUAAAACUUCACAAAAAAGCUUAAAACACAUCGAUAAAAGCUAUAGAUCUAAAACAGAAACUAUUAGAAUAGAAAAAUGCUUCAGAAACCAAAACAAGAAGAGACUUCACCGGAAAUUACCUCACAAAUGCAAAUGGAUUAAGCCGGAAAUUUGAUAUUCCGGCGAUAAACUCCGGCAAGAGGUUUGAGGUAGCGCGUUGGUUUCCCUCGCUUUUUCCUCAAAGGUUGGAGUGUGUUGAAAAAUUAGUGUGAGGUGAGGUGGUGUUUGAUGAUGGUGUUGGUGAACUGGAAAUUCUGAGUUGGAUUAUAAAUAGAAAGCGCGGAUUUGAAAAUCAUAUUUAAUUGAA
rnacentral:lncRNA from 1 species